GGACUACUCGGGUAUCUAAUCCCGUUCGCUCCCCACGCUUUCGUGCCUUAGUGUCAGUAAUGGGCCAGUAGACUGCCUACGCCAUCGGUGUUCCUUCUAAUAUCUACGGAUUUCACUCCUACACUAGAAAUUCCAUCUACCUCUCCCAUACUCAAGCUGAGCAGUUCAAGAUAUGUCAUAUUCCGUUGAGCGGAACGCUUUCACAUCUUGCUUACUCUGCCACCUACGCAACUCUUUACGCCCAGUAAAUCCGGAUAACGCUUGGGUCCUACGUAUUACCGCGGCUGCUGGCAC
rnacentral:rRNA from 1 species